rnacentral:rRNA from 1 species
UACAGAGGCCUCGAGCGUUAGGCGGAAUCACUGGGCUUAAAGCGUGUGUAGGCGGAUCGUUAAGUACCUUGUGAAAGCCCCGGGCUCAACCUGGGAACUGCAAUGGAAACUGGCGGGCUUGAAUGCGGCAGAGGGGGGUGGAAUUCCGCGUGUAGCAGUGAAAUGCGUAGAUAUGUGGAGGAACACCGAUGGCGAAGGCAGCCCCCUGGGUCAAAACUGACGCUCAUGCACGAAAGCGUGGGGAGCAAACAGG